rnacentral:rRNA from 1 species
UACAGAGGUCUCAAGCGUUGUUCGGAUUCAUUGGGCGUAAAGGGUGCGUAGGUGGCGCUGUAAGUCAGGUGUGAAAUUUCGGAGCUUAACUCCGAAACUGCAUUUGAUACUGCGGUGCUUGAGGACUGGAGAGGAGACUGGAAUUUACGGUGUAGCAGUGAAAUGCGUAGAGAUCGUAAGGAAGACCAGUGGCGAAGGCGAGUUUCUGGACGGUAACUGACGCUGAGGCACGAAGGCCAGGGGAGCAAACGGG